GAUGCCAGUGUGCUCCAGAAAGUGUAAGGGGUCUGUUUUUCAUUUCCAUGGACAUCUUCCACAGCUUCACCUGACAACGACUGUUCCUAUGAAGAAGCCACUUGUGUUUUAAGCAGAAGCAACCUCUCUCUUCUCCUCUGUCUUCCAGACGGGGACAGAGAUGGGAGAGAUUGAGCCAAAUCAGCCUUCUGUUGGUUAAUAUUGUAUAAUGCAUGGCUUUGUGCACAGCCCAGUGUGGGAUUACAGCUUUGGGAUGACUGCUUAUAAAGUUCUGUUUGGUUAGUAUUGGCAUAGUUUUUUCUAUAUAGCCAUACAUGCGUAUAUAUACCCAUAGGGCUAGAUCUGUAUCUUAGUGUAGUGAUGUAUACGUAUACACAUACACCUGUGUGUUGAAGGGCCUAAUCAGCUUUGGAAGUAUCGAGUGGUCCCUUAUCUCUUAAAGCUAAUUCUUAGAUUUGUUUAUUUACC
rnacentral:lncRNA from 1 species